GAUGUUGACGUAAGUUAACGUCAAUUUUGGACGCCAUAAAAUGACUGGAGGAAUGUAGCUUCGAUCUCGUAUUGAAGUGUUAUAGCCUUUGGUAGAUGUGGUUUUCGAGAUUGAGGAUUGCAACGGAUACCCUUCGGGGCUACCUAUCUGAUCUCUGAUCGUUGCUCUGGUGGCGAAAGCUUGCUUACGGAUAUCAAAGUCGAUGGUCAAUAGGUUAGAAUAGGUUAAAUUCGUUAAGGAUGUUGACGUAA
rnacentral:rRNA from 1 species